rnacentral:rRNA from 1 species
CAAUAGCGUAUAUUAAAGUUGUUGCGGUUAAAAAGCUCGUAGUUGGAUUUCUGCCGAGGACGACCGGUCCGCCCUCUGGGUGAGCAUCUGGAUCGGCCUGGGCAUCUUCUUGGGGAACGUAGCUGCACUUGACUGUGUGGUGCGGUAUCCAGGACUUUUACUUUGAGGAAAUGAGAGUGUUUCAAGCAAGCAUCCGCCAUGAAUACGUUAGCAUGGAAUAAUAGCAUCGGACCUCGAUCUGAAGCUGUUGGUUUCUUGGGUCGAGGUAAAGGUGAAUAGGGAUUGUUGGGGCGAUUCGUAUUAACUGUCAGAGGUGAAAUUCUUGGAUUUGUUGAAGACGGACUACUGCGAAAGCAUCUGCCAAAGAUGUUCUCAUUGAUCAAGAACGAAAGUUAGGGGAUCGAAGACGAUUAGAUACCG